GACGAACGCUGGCGGCGUGCUUAACACAUGCAAGUCGAACGGAAAGGCCCUGCUUUUGUGGGGUGCUCGAGUGGCGAACGGGUGAGUAACACGUGAGUAACCUGCCCUUGACUUUGGGAUAACUUCAGGAAACUAGGGCUAAUACCGGCUAGGAGCUCCUGCUGCAUGGUGGGGGUUGGAAAGUUUCGGCGGUUGGGGAUGGACUCGCGGCUUAUCAGCUUGUUGGUGGGGUAGUGGCUUACCAAGGCUUUGACGGGUAGCCGGCCUGAGAGGGUGACCGGCCACAUUGGGACUGAGAGACGGCCCAGACUCCUACGGGAGGCAGCAGUGGGGAAUAUUGCACAAUGGGCGGAAGCCUGAUGCAGCAACGCCGCGUGCGGGAUGACGGCCUUCGGGUUGUAAACCGCUUUCGCCUGUGACGAAGCGUGAGUGACGGUAAUGGGUAAAGAAGCACCGGCUAACUACGUG
rnacentral:rRNA from 1 species